GAGCGACGAGUGCGGAACGAACGGAGCGUGACGGAGAGAUCGCGCCGCCAUCCAAUGAUCUCGGUUAGAAGUAGAGUAUAGUCUCCUUACCUCUCUCGUGCACGGUUUCUCUAGAGUAGGUGGAUCACAGUUAAAACGCGGUGGUAGGAGCUAGGUAAAAAGAUCACAAAAUAUGGCACACUGUUGCCCGAGUUCAUCGUUCGCGGCACUUCGCGGCGCGGUCGCUUACUGUAUACUGGUGGGGGCGGCGAAGUACGGGAGGAGGAGGAGGAGGAGGAGGAGGAGGCAGAGAGACAGGAGAAGGACGAGAAAAGGAAACCGGCGCGUAGCAGUGAAACAACACGUAGUCGAGAGAGCGAAGCGGUAAUACCGGGAGAGGCGAAGAGAAUUCCUCGCGCGCUGUCAGCUGUCAAUGCCGCGCACGUUGUCACUCAUCUUGCGCCGUUUUUCCUCGCGUCCCGGUACUUGCGAUCCCGUUCCUCUUCCUCCACGACGAUCACCUCGCGAUACAUCGAACCAUUCAGAUCCAACGGAACGACAUCCCCCUCGGCUCUCCUCCUCCUC